UUGGGGAGGCCUCAGGAAACUUAAAAUCAUGGCAGAAGGCACCUCUUCACAGGUUGGUAGGGGAGAGAAUGAGUACAAGCAGGGGAAAUGCCAGAUGCUUAUAAAACCAUCAGAUCUUUUGAGAGUCACUCACUACCAUGAGAACAGCAUGGGGGAAACUGCCCCCAUAAUUCAAUUACCUCCACCUGGUCUCUCCCUUGACACAUGGGGCUUAUGGGGAUUACAAUUCAAGAUGAGAUUUGGGUGGGGACACAAAGCCUAACCAUAUCAAUAUUCAUACAUCAUUUUCUUUAAAUUGAUACAACUAAAGUGACUGGAUGUUUGAUUUUACACUACAUUUGCCAUUUCAUCACUUCCCAGGGGAACUCAAGUUAUCUCAAAAUAUAGCACGAUUUCCCCAAUUAAGGUUUUUUUUUUUGGAAACAGGGUCUCAGUCUGUCACCCAGACUGGAGUUCAGUGGUACCAUCAUAGCUCACUGCAAGCUCAAACUCCUGGGCACAUGCAAUUGUCCCACUUCAGCCUCCCAAAUAGCUGGCACUACAGGCUCAUCCCAUGGUGCCCAGCUAAAAAUUUUUCUUUUCUUUUUUUUUUUUUUUUUUUUUUUUGUAGAGAUGGGUCUCACUUUGUUGCCCAGGUUAGUCUCAAACUUCUGGCUUCAAACAAUCUUCCCACCUCAGUCUCCCACAGCACAGGGAUUACCUGUGUGAGCCACUGCACCAGGCCCCACUCCAUUUCUUAAAUGCGUUUCUUCAUACUCUUAGAUGGUAGGUUGGGAGAGAAGUAGUCUGUAGCCUCUUUCACUGUCACUAGUUGGGAUAGACAACCAAAACACUUAAAGUCCUGGUGCUUUACUUAGAAUGUAUCAUUAUAGGUCCUGUUGUCUGUGGGUGAAUUAAUAAAGGAUCUACUAUCAUGGCGGGGGCGGGGGUUUGCUUUAUGAUGAAUGGUCUCACACAAAUUCUAUUUUUAGAAUGUCGUGACCGACACUAUUGUACACCAACAAACUACUGUUCCCAUGCAAACUCAGGAGAGACUUGCCACCAACAGCUGGUGUCCUUCACAGCUGUUGACUUCCAUACUGUUUUAAGACCUGUCAUUCUCAGAUAACUUAGACAUUUCAGAGGCAGAUAUGUACUUCCUUCUGAGACUAUGGCUUUUAAAUCUUUGUUAGUGUAAAAUGUCCUUCACAGACACAAUCUUACAUAGAACUCAAAUAUUAGAAACAUGCUGAAGUGGAGGUACCCUAGGAGAAGCAGUGAAGAAAAAACACACAGGUUGCCUCCUGGUCCCACCUCAUACCAUCUUUAAGGCUCUCUCUCAGAAGGCUAGCCCUCUGCAGAACCCAAUUUGAGGACUCCUGCUCUAGACUAUCUGUAGAACAAGCCACAUCACAUACAAUUGCCCAUAUUCUCUGAGACAUAUGAUGGAAAAAUGGUAGACUGCAGAAUCUGCCUUUUAGCAAAAAGCAUGCUGGUGUGUAUUGGCACAUCAUCUAACAGGAAUUCCCCUAGGACACACCAACCUGAGGGGAGAGCUGAGUUGCCUUAUGAUGGGACUGUCAUACAUACUGCUGGCUUCCCCAGUUUCUCAGGUGCUACUUCAAUUCCCAAGUUGCUGCAGGGCUGCCCCAGCUGCUGCUAUAUUUCUCUGAGGACUUGGUGUCACUACCUAAAGAAGUCAUGCAUUGCUCUCCUAGUGAAGAACUUGCUUCACCAUUGCUAUAGAUGCUGUUGUUGUUAUAUGUUGAUGCUGAUUUUCUACAUGGUCUCUUUACUACUAGAACAGCUAAGGAUCCUCUCAUUAUACAAGGAAUUUCUUUUUCCUAUUUUCUUUCCUUCUUCCAUUCAUUUAAUCCUCAGAAAAAGAGAAAAGGCUUUGAGUUCUGUCUUAUUCAAGUAGUGUUGAGCAUAUUUCUUGAUAAGUAACAAAUUCUUAGCAAAUGUAUAUUCUCUGUAAAUAUAUAUUCUUCUAAGAUAUUCACUUUUGGAGACAAAAAGCACACACUUCAGAGUGAAACAGCCAUCAUUUCAAACCUGUGUACUGCUUCCUGCAGGUGGUAUGAUUUGGGGCAGUUACUUCACCUCUGAGCUUCCAUUUCCUCGUUUUUAAAGCACGGUGGCAAUACCUACCUCAGGGUGGUUGUAGAAAGAAAUAAUAUGGUGUAUGUGACUGGUGUGGCAUGCAGUAAGUGCUCAAAAAAGGUAAGUUCCUUUCUUUUCCCCUUGAAGAAUGAAGUGCUGUACUACUUGCAGGGGGUCAGUCUGGCUCUGCCCUUCAGGGAGUCCCUGUGAGCCAGAGGUUCCAGCCAUUCCAUAGGAGCCAGCUGGGGAAGCCUCUCCAAAGAGCAGGGUAGGACCCACGGAUCUGGGUCCACCAUACUGUUCUUUACUGACUAAUGGGCUGUCCCUGGACACUUAUCUCAAGGAGUUUCCAGCAAUGUCAAGCAAAGAAAACAGGCCUUUGAUAAGAAUGAUACAAUGGAUUUUGGAGACUUGGGGGGAAGAGUGGGAGAGGGGUGAGGGAUAAAAGACAACAAAUACAGUGCAGCGUAUACUGCUCAGGUGAUGGGUACACCAGGAUCUCACAAAUCACCACUAAAGAACUUACUUAUGUAACCUAAUACUGCCUGUACUGCAAUACCUUAUGAAAAAAGAAAAAGAAAACAGGCCUAUGGUAAAGUUGCAAAAAUAGAACAGGGAGAGGGGUAGUGUUAACAAAAACUAUCAACUGUAGGAGUCAUGUUAACAUUGUUAACAAAAUUGGUGUAGAAGCAUGUUAUUUGUCCUCAACCCAGCAUCCAUUUCUUCAUCUUCUGGGAUUAUCGUUCUAACAUACUUUGAAAAACCAGUUCUCCUUACUUUUGGCUAUAUCGUUUGAUGGGGAUUAACCCUAUGCCUUGCUCCAGGGUAGAGCCUUGAUUGGCUAAAGCCAACAACAUGUUCAACCUUCUAGCUGCAACCGUUGGUUCAGAGAUGGGCAUAUGACUCAAUGAGAACCAGUGAAAUAUUUUUCUGGAGCUUAAGAGGAAAAACAGUUAAAUUUCUGUGGAGCUACCAUGAAAGUGUGCCUUCUUUUUGGAUGGGGUAAUAUGAAGCUGUAUGACAUGAACUACUACCACAAGAGGAAAGUCUAGAGCUGCUAGGCCAAGGGGUGAAACAUGAGGAUAAAGAAAGGGAGCUAAGAAAUUAAAUUAGGUGGGAGGAGUGUGAGAGGAUAAAGUCCAUAUUUAAUGUCUUUGUACUGCUGGAUCAAGCCUUAUCUUAAGCCUGUAUCCAUCUGGACUAUAAGAUUAGGUAAAGCAGUCAGUUUGAAAACAGUUUUCCUGAUAUUGCUGCUUAUUAACUGUGUAACACUUGGCAGGGCCUCAAUUUCCUCAUCUGAAAGAAAGGAUUUAAUAACAUCCUUUUAUAGUUGAAGUGAUAAAUAAUGAGUUAAUAUAUGUAAACCACCGUGCUCAAUUAAAUGACAUUUUUAACAUAAAAGUGGUUAGAAGUUCAUAUAGAAGUAUCAUCUAGAAGAGUGGUUCUCAAUUGAAGCAAUUUUGCCCCUCAGUGGACAUUUGGCAAAGUCUGGAGACAUUUUGGGUUGUUACAACUCAAGGCAUUUAGUGGGUAGGGGCCAAGGAUACUGCUCUACAUCCUAUGAUGCACAAUGCAACCUCCCAUAACAAGGAAUUAUCCAGCCCCAAACAUCACUAAUGCCAAAGAAACCCAGAUCUAGAGAACACAUCUACUGAUGUCAGUGAAGUGCUCCAGUUGAGGCUUCCAUUAUUUCUGCCAGAAUACUAUGGGGAAAUGAAAAAAGGACACUGGCACGAUGAGCAAGUACAUAAGACGGUAACACCAAGGGACAAAACAAAGGGAUUCCCUGGCUCUCUGCCAAGGCUAUGAGCAUUCUACCUGUGAAUUUCAGAGUAAAUGAAGGUUCUAAGAGCCCAGCUGAGGUAAUGCAUAGAUUAGGGAGCUCUAGAAAGUGUGAGCUUGAUUACCCAAUUAGAACUGAUCGCAGGAUAGCAACAAGAGGAUAAAUACUGUCCAGGUGGGUAUGGAGCAAGACAUAAUCUCAGAACAGCAUGUUCCCUGCAUCUUUAGGUAUUAUGAGGAGCAGCACAGUCAAAAUGUUGAGAAUUUGAUACCACAAGUAGAACAUCUUAAUAUCAUUAACGAUCUACUGACUUCCUGUAGGUAAUAUAUUGUUUUAUACUCAAACAUUAUACACAUACAUCUCUGUGCUGAGAGAAUUUGCAAAUUCUGGCAUGGCGAGGAAAUAGAACACUGCCUAGUUCAGUCUAACAGAUAUUCCUAGAUAGAGAGCAACAAGGUGAGAUGGUCCUAUAAAUCAUAAUCUGGCCCUUUGUAACAAGGAUAAUUAUCAUGAAGUUGCAGAAUACUUCCAGAUUUCAGCAUUAAAUGCUUCUUUUCUCACGUACCAGGUAGCUGGAGUGAAUUCAGUGUUAUGUACCCACCUCCUACACUUGGGGCAGAAUUGCUUAAAGUAACCCAACUGCGAACCUCCACGGACCAUCUAUCUACAUGGUGUCUGGGAGCCCCAUCCACCUACAGUGAGAGCUCAGUGGUUCUCAACCAGGGGUAAAUUUUCUACCAAGAGCACAUUUUUGGUCAUCACAACUGAAGGAGAAGGUGCUACAGGCAUUUGAUGAGUAGAGUAGAGGCCACUGAUGCUACUGAACAUGUUACAAUGCACAGGACAGCAUCCACAAUAAAAAAUUAUCUGGCCCCAAA